AAAUUGAAGAGUUUGAUCAUGGCUCAGAUUGAACGCUGGCGGCAGGCCUAACACAUGCAAGUCGAACGGUAACAGGAAGCAGCUUGCUGCUUCGCUGACGAGUGGCGGACGGGUGAGUAAUGUCUGGGAAACUGCCUGAUGGAGGGGGAUAACUACUGGAAACGGUGGCUAAUACCGCAUAACGUCGCAAGACCAAAGAGGGGGACCUUCGGGCCUCUUGCCAUCAGAUGUGCCCAGAUGGGAUUAGCUUGUUGGUGAGGUAACGGCUCACCAAGGCGACGAUCCCUAGCUGGUCUGAGAGGAUGACCAGCCACACUGGAACUGAGACACGGUCCAGACUCCUACGGGAGGCAGCAGUGGGGAAUAUUGCACAAUGGGCGCAAGCCUGAUGCAGCCAUGCCGCGUGUAUGAAGAAGGCCUUCGGGUUGUAAAGUACUUUCAGCGGGGAGGAAGGUGUUGUGGUUAAUAACCACAGCAAUUGACGUUACUCGCAGAAGAAGCACCGGCUAACUCCGUGCCAGCAGCCGCGGUAAUACGGAGGGUGCAAGCGUUAAUCGGAAUUACUGGGCGUAAAGCGCACGCAGGCGGUCUGUCAAGUCGGAUGUGAAAUCCCCGGGCUCAACCUGGGAACUGCAUUCGAAACUGGCAGGCUUGAGUCUUGUAGAGGGGGGUAGAAUUCCAGGUGUAGCGGUGAAAUGCGUAGAGAUCUGGAGGAAUACCGGUGGCGAAGGCGGCCCCCUGGACAAAGACUGACGCUCAGGUGCGAAAGCGUGGGGAGCAAACAGGAUUAGAUACCCUGGUAGUCCACGCCGUAAACGAUGUCUACUUGGAGGUUGUGCCCUUGAGGCGUGGCUUCCGGAGCUAACGCGUUAAGUAGACCGCCUGGGGAGUACGGCCGCAAGGUUAAAACUCAAAUGAAUUGACGGGGGCCCGCACAAGCGGUGGAGCAUGUGGUUUAAUUCGAUGCAACGCGAAGAACCUUACCUGGUCUUGACAUCCACAGAACUUUCCAGAGAUGGACUGGUGCCUUCGGGAACUGUGAGACAGGUGCUGCAUGGCUGUCGUCAGCUCGUGUUGUGAAAUGUUGGGUUAAGUCCCGCAACGAGCGCAACCCUUAUCCUUUGUUGCCAGCGGUUAGGCCGGGAACUCAAAGGAGACUGCCAGUGAUAAACUGGAGGAAGGUGGGGAUGACGUCAAGUCAUCAUGGCCCUUACGACCAGGGCUACACACGUGCUACAAUGGCGCAUACAAAGAGAAGCGACCUCGCGAGAGCAAGCGGACCUCAUAAAGUGCGUCGUAGUCCGGAUUGGAGUCUGCAACUCGACUCCAUGAAGUCGGAAUCGCUAGUAAUCGUGGAUCAGAAUGCCACGGUGAAUACGUUCCCGGGCCUUGUACACACCGCCCGUCACACCAUGGGAGUGGGUUGCAAAAGAAGUAGGUAGCUUAACCUUCGGGAGGGCGCUUACCACUUUGUGAUUCAUGACUGGGGUGAAGUCGUAACAAGGUAACCGUAGGGGAACCUGCGGUUGGAUCACCUCCUUACCUUAAAGAA
rnacentral:rRNA from 1 species